UGAGGAAUAUUGGUCAAUGGACGAGAGUCUGAACCAGCCAAGUAGCGUGCAGGAAGACGGCCCUAUGGGUUGUAAACUGCUUUUAUAAGGGAAUAAAGUGAGUCUCGUGAGACUUUUUGCAUGUACCUUAUGAAUAAGGACCGGCUAAUUCCGUGCCAGCAGCCGCGGUAAUACGGAAGGUCCGGGCGUUAUCCGGAUUUAUUGGGUUUAAAGGGAGCGUAGGCCGGAGAUUAAGCGUGUUGUGAAAUGUAGACGCUCAACGUCUGCACUGCAGCGCGAACUGGUUUCCUUGAGUACGCACAAAGUGGGCGGAAUUCGUGGUGUAGCGGUGAAAUGCUUAGAUAUCACGAAGAACUCCGAUUGCGAAGGCAGCUCACUGGAGCGCAACUGACGCUGAAGCUCGAAAGUGCGGGUAUCGAACAGGAUUAGAUACCCUGGUAGUCCGCACGGUAAACGAUGGAUGCCCGCUGUUGGUCUGAAUAGGUCAGCGGCCAAGCGAAAGCAUUAAGCAUCCCACCUGGGGAGUACGCCGGCAACGGUGAAACUCAAAGGAAUUGACGGGGGCCCGCACAAGCGGAGGAACAUGUGGUUUAAUUCGAUGAUACGCGAGGAACCUUACCCGGGCUUGAAUUGCAGAGGAAGGAUUUGGAGACAAUGACGCCCUUUGGGGCCUCUGUGAAGGUGCUGCAUGGUUGUCGUCAGCUCGUGCCGUGAGGUGUCGGCUUAAGUGCCAUAACGAGCGCAACCCCUCUCCUUAGUUGCCAUCAGGUCAUGCUGGGCACUCUGGGGACACUGCCACCGUAAGGUGUGAGGAAGGUGGGGAUGACGUCAAAUCAGCACGGCCCUUACGUCCGGGGCUACACACGUGUUACAAUGGCAGGUACAGAGAGACGGUCCCUUGCAAAAUGGAUCAAAUCCUUAAAGCCUGUCUCAGUUCGGACUGGGGUCUGCAACCCGACCCCACGAAGCUGGAUUCGCUAGUAAUCGCGCAUCAGCCAUGGCGCGGUGAAUACGUUCCC
rnacentral:rRNA from 1 species